ACCAUUACUGUGAGGUAAUGCUGAGCGUACAGAAGUCAGCAGAAGCCAUAGUAGCCGGGAGUUUUUUGGUGAAGGGC
rnacentral:ncRNA from 1 species